CAGAUGGGAGCUUGCUCCCUGAUGUUAGCGGCGGACGGGUGAGUAACACGUGGGUAACCUGCCUGUAAGACUGGGAUAACUCCGGGAAACCGGGGCUAAUACCGGAUGCUUGUUUGAACCGCAUGGUUCAAACAUAAAAGGUGGCUUCGGCUACCACUUACAGAUGGACCCGCGGCGCAUUAGCUAGUUGGUGAGGUAAUGGCUCACCAAGGCAACGAUGCGUAGCCGACCUGAGAGGGUGAUCGGCCACACUGGGACUGAGACACGGCCCAGACUCCUACGGGAGGCAGCAGUAGGGAAUCUUCCGCAAUGGACGAAAGUCUGACGGAGCAACGCCGCGUGAGUGAUGAAGGUUUUCGGAUCGUAAAGCUCUGUUGUUAGGGAAGAACAAGUGCCGUUCAAAUAGGGCGGCACCUUGACGGUACCUAACCAGAAAGCCACGGCUAACUACGUGCCAGCAGCCGCGGUAAUACGUAGGUGGCAAGCGUUGUCCGGAAUUAUUGGGCGUAAAGGGCUCGCAGGCGGUUUCUUAAGUCUGAUGUGAAAGCCCCCGGCUCAACCGGGGAGGGUCAUUGGAAACUGGGGAACUUGAGUGCAGAAGAG
rnacentral:rRNA from 1 species